rnacentral:rRNA from 1 species
CCUACGGGAGGCUGCAGUGGGGAAUAUUGCACAAUGGGCGAAAGCCUGAUGCAGCAACGCCGCGUGAAGGAAGAAGGGUUUCGGCUCGUAAACUUCUAUCAACAGGGACGAAAGAAAUGACGGUACCUGAAUAAGAAGCCCCGGCUAACUACGUGCCAGCAGCCGCGGUAAUACGUAGGGAGCGAGCGUUGUCCGGAAUUACUGGGCGUAAAGGGCGCGUAGGCGGGAACUUAAGUUAGAUGUGAAAACUCCGGGCUUAACCUGGAGACUGCAUUUAAAACUGGGUUUCUUGAGGGCAGGAGAGGAAAGUGGAAUUCCUAGUGUAGCGGUGAAAUGCGUAGAUAUUAGGAGGAACACCAGUGGCGAAGGCGACUUUCUGGACUGUACCUGACGCUGAGGCGCGAAAGCAUGGGGAGCGAACAGGAUUAGAUACCCUUGUAGUC